rnacentral:tRNA from 1 species
AAGGGAGACCUAAUUCAGGUAGGAGACGAAAAAGAAGUAGUCCCAACCAAGAAUCAAUCCCAAAAGGUCGGAGCGAGGCGAAAUUGGCUUUCAAACUAGGUUCUGGGUUCACACAAGACCUGAAUCAGGAACAAGGGCUAUUAGCUCAGGUGGUUAGAGCGCACCCCUGAUAAGGGUGAGGUCCCUGGUUCGAGUCCAGGAUGGCCCACCUGCACAGGUGGCAAAAACAAGAGAAGCGAGGAAUCAGCACCUUAUCUUAUCUAUAUAUAUAUAGGAGAGAAUGCUGGCUCUGAGUAAAGAGUCCAGAGGAACCUUGAAAACUGCAUAGAGCUAGGUGAAAAAGCCAAAAAAGAAGACCGCAA